UUGGUGGGGUGAUGGCCUACCAAGGCGACGACGGGUAGCCGGCCUGAGAGGGUGUCCGGCCACACUGGGACUGAGAUACGGCCCAGACUCCUACGGGAGGCAGCAGUGGGGAAUAUUGCACAAUGGGCGCAAGCCUGAUGCAGCGACGCCGCGUGAGGGACGACGGCCUUCGGGUUGUAAACCUCUUUCAGCACAGACGAAGCGCAAGUGACGGUAUGUGCAGAAGAAGCACCGGCCAACUACGUGCCAGCAGCCGCGGUAAUACGUAGGGUGCGAGCGUUGUCCGGAAUUACUGGGCGUAAAGAGCUCGUAGGUGGUUUGUCGCGUUGUUCGUGAAAACUCACAGCUCAACUGUGGGCGUGCGGGCGAUACGGGCAGACUGGAGUACUGCAGGGGAGACUGGAAUUCCUGGUGUAGCGGUGGAAUGCGCAGAUAUCAGGAGGAACACCGGUGGCGAAGGCGGGUCUCUGGGCAGUAACUGACGCUGAGGAGCGAAAGCGUGGGGAGCGAACAGGAUUAGAUACCCUGGUAGUCCACGCCGUAAACGGUGGGUACUAGGUGUGGGUUUCCUUCCUUGGGAUCCGUGCCGUAGCUAACGCAUUAAGUACCCCGCCUGGGGAGUACGG
rnacentral:rRNA from 1 species